rnacentral:rRNA from 47 species
UUAAAUUGAAGAGUUUGAUCAUGGCUCAGAUUGAACGCUGGCGGCAGGCCUAACACAUGCAAGUCGAACGGUAACA